rnacentral:rRNA from 1 species
CGUAGGGGGCGAGCGUUGUCCGGAAUUACUGGGCGUAAAGGGCGUGUAGGCGGCCUUUCAAGUCGGCUGUGAAAUUCCUUGGCUUAACUGAGGGUGUGCAGUCGAAACUGAUGGGCUUGAGUGCAGGAGAGGGUGGUGGAAUUCCCGGUGUAGCGGUGACAUGCGUAGAUAUCGGGAGGAACACCGGUGGCGAAGGCGGCCUCCUGGUCUGUUACUGACGCUGAGGCGCGAAAGCCGGGGGAGCAAACAGGAUUAGAUACCCUGGUAGUCCAGGCCGUAAACUCUGGGUACUAGGUGUAGGGGGCUUCGAUGCCUUCUGUGCCGUAGUUAACGCAUUAAGUACCCCGCCUGGGGAGUACGAUCGCAAGGUUGAA